AGUGAACGCUGGCGGUAGGCCUAACACAUGCAAGUCGAACGGCAGCACAGUAAGAGCUUGCUCUUACGAGUGGCGAGUGGCGGACGGGUGAGGAAUACAUCGGAAUCUACUUUUUCGUGGGGGAUGACGUAGGGAAACUUACGCUAAUACCGCAUACGACCUACGGGUGAAAGCAGGGGAUCUUCGGACCUUGCGCGAUUGAAUGAGCCGAUGUCGGAUUAGCUAGUUGGCGGGGUAAAGGCCCACCAAGGCGACGAUCCGUAGCUGGUCUGAGAGGAUGAUCAGCCACACUGGAACUGAGACACGGUCCAGACUCCUACGGGAGGCAGCAGUGGGGAAUAUUGGACAAUGGGCGCAAGCCUGAUCCAGCCAUACCGCGUGGGUGAAGAAGGCAUUCGGGUUGUAAAGCCCUUUUGUUGGGAAAGAAAAGCAGCAGGUUAAUACCCCGCUGUUCUGACGGUACCCAAAGAAUAAGCACCGGCUAACUUCGUG
rnacentral:rRNA from 1 species